UGUACCAGCUGGAUUCAUGCAAGUUCCUUUCCAUCGUCCUGGAACGGGUCUCAUGUCGGCAUCGUGGAAGCUCUUGGAUUCUGGCCACACUCCUGUACAAGAACGAGAUCAAGAUCAACUUCUCGAAGAAUGACAUAUGAAGGGGCAAGAGGAGUGAUACCGCUGUCUAGAACUCCUACAAUGACAUCGUAACGUUCAUGGGGUAAGAACUCGAUUCCUGAUUGCUCCGAACUUAGAGACUCGCUCAAGCCAACGAAGUCCCACGAACGAGUUGUCUGGAUGUGAUACGUCUUACUGGGAUAAACGCUCAGUAUUUCAGGAAACUCUGAAAAACCACUAAAGCCGUGGCUGUAGCUGUAGACAAUGGCGUCCAUGGCAGACUCCAAACUAAGGUA